CCAGAGAACUUAGCAGAGAUGCUUUGGUGCCUUCGGGAACUCUGAGACAGGUGCUGCAUGGCUGUCGUCAGCUCGUGUUGUGAAAUGUUGGUUAAGUCCCGCAACGAGCGCAACCCUUAUCCUUUGUUGCCAGCGGCUCGGCCGGGAACUCAAAGGAGACUGCCGGUGAUAAACCGGAGGAAGGUGGGGAUGACGUCAAGUCAUCAUGGCCCUUACGGCCAGGGCUACACACGUGCUACAAUGGCGCAUACAAAGAGAAGCGACCUCGCGAGAGCAAGCGGACCUCACAAAGUGCGUCGUAGUCCGGAUUGGAGUCUGCAACUCGACUCCAUGAAGUCGGAAUCGCUAGUAAUCGUAGAUCAGAAUGCUACGGUGAAUACGUUCCCGGGCCUUGUACACACCGCCCGUCACACCAUGGGAGUGGGUUGCAAAAGAAGUAGGUAGCUUAACCUUCGGGAGGGCGCUUACCACUUUGUGAUUCAUGACUGGGGUGAAGUCGUAACAAGGUAAGCGUAGCGAG
rnacentral:rRNA from 1 species